UCCGCGUUGGUUCGUUGUCAAAGGUUUACUGAUGACUGUCGUCGUGUUAGCGCAUUGCUCCUCUCGAGUGCAGUGAGUGUUUUUAUAUAUACAUACACACCAACAAAGAGCACAGCCGCUGCUGUUGGUGACAGUAACUCGACGUAAAAGACCAGUGAAGCAGCAAAGAAGUAGCUAAUCAGCCGGUGUGUCGCUUCAAUCAGUUAGUCAGCAGUAACGAAUGAAGUACUGUUAUGCAUUUGAUUUUAGUUGAACGGAUUAUGCUCUGCUUGAAAGAAAAAAGUAAGCGAAGA